UACGGAGGGGGCUAGCGUUGUUCGGAAUUACUGGGCGUAAAGGGCGCGUAGGCGGCCUGCUAAGUCGGAUGUGAAAUCCCUCGGCUCAACCGAGGAACUGCAUCCGAUACUGGCGGGCUUGAAUCCGGGAGAGGGAUGUGGAAUUCCAGGUGUAGCGGUGAAAUGCGUAGAUAUCUGGAGGAACACCGGUGGCGAAGGCGGCAUCCUGGACCGGUAUUGACGCUGAGGCGCGAAAGCUAGGGGAGCAAACGGG
rnacentral:rRNA from 1 species